rnacentral:rRNA from 1 species
CGAAAGCGUGGGGAUCAAACAGGAUUAGAUACCCUGGUAGUCCACGCAGUAAACGAUGAUAACUAGCUGUUUGCGAUACACAGUAAGCGGCACAGCGAAAGCGUUAAGUUAUCCACCUGGGGAGUACGCCGGCAACGGUGAAACUCAAAGGAAUUGACGGGGGCCCGCACAAGCGGAGGAACAUGUGGUUUAAUUCGAUGAUACGCGAGGAACCUUACCCGGGCUUGAACGUAGGGAGACAGUUCUGGAAACAGAAUCUCUAGCAAUAGCUGCCUACGAGGUGCUGCAUGGUUGUCGUCAGCUCGUGCCGUGAGGUGUCGGCUUAAGUGCCAUAACGAGCGCAACCCACAUCGAUAGUUACUAACAGGUUAAGCUGAGGACUCUAUCGAGACUGCCAGCGUAAGCUGUGAGGAAGGUGUGGAUGACGUCAAAUCAGCACGGCCCUUACGUCCGGGGCGACACACGUGUUACAAUGGGAGGUACAAAGGGCAGCUACCUGGCGACAGGAUGCUAAUCUCUAAAACCUUUCUCAGUUCGGAUUGGAGUCUGCAACUCGACUCCAUGAAGCUGGAUUCGCUAGUAAUCGCGCAUCAGCCAUGGCGCGGUGAAUACGUUCCCGGGCCUUGUACACACCGCCCGUCAAGCCAUGGAAGCUGGGGGUACCUGAAGUAUGCAACCGCAAGGAGCGUCCUAGGGUAAAACCGGUAACUGGGGCU